CAUCCCAUGUAUCUCUCUCUUCCCCCAAAUUAGAAAUCCUUAUUCCCCAGCCCUCUAUCUCCCGUGCUCCUCCCAGGCUGCCGCCACCGUCUAGUCUCGGUACACGGGCUCCAGUAGCACCGUGGAUAGGAGAUCCAUGGCGAGCUCCUCCACUACAGCAACCUGCUCCACCAUAGCGACCGGUUCCAUGGCAGCUGGAUCCAUGGAAAUUGGAUUCAUUGCGACUAGAUCCAUAGCGGUGGCCUCUAGCAUGGCAAGCUGCUCCACCAUGGCUACCUCCUUCACCAUGACGAGUUGCUGAGCACUAAGAGCUCCUCCGCAGCUUCCACACCUAGCUCCAGCAUGGUGAUCUACCUCCUCUGCCACUUGUGUAUAGCAGCUUCUCCGGCCGUAGCAACGUUCGGGUCAGCCCCCGACACGGAGGUGGACUCAUCGCCCCCCCCCCCCAGUCCUUGCCUCAGCUAGAGUCGACUCUAGCUAGGGCCACCUCUGACUCCUCUGGAGCGCCUGGUGCCCUAACCUCGGCUCUAGAGCUGGGGUCCUUCGAUGUCGGAGCGGAUGAGCAGGUCAGCAGGAGGAGCUAGGAGGGGUGGCGUUGCACUGCAUGGUCUCCAGUGCUUCGCUCGUAAUGCUGCCAAGAGGAUCUAUCUUGGUCGCCCCUCCCUGGACGAAGGUACGUGAGGUGGCGAUCGAGCAAUGGGACUAGGAUCGGAUAGCUGUGGCAGCACUGCGUUGGAGUGUGCUAGGCGAUGCUAUUGCUUCUCCUCAUGGGCAUAUUUAGAGACCCGCCCAAGGCCAACAUCUAAUUCACUGAUUUGGAGAUCAAGAGUAUAAACACAGAUUGGAUAAUUUUGAUAUUUGUUGACAUUCUUUUAUGAAAUUGUAUAGUUGUAGAUUGUUUCACUUUGGAUAACAGAUGUGCAGAGGGAGUAUUUGUAUGAACAUUUUUGUGAAUGGUGAUAGAAAUAUAAUUAAAUUGCUCCAUUGAUGUAAAUGGAAUAAUGAGUUGGCAUGAGCUAUACUUUUUGUGACAUCGUCGGUGUCUAUUAUUUUUCGUCAUAAAUUUCAU